UACGGAGGGUGCAAGCGUUAUCCGGAUUCACUGGGCUUAAAGGGUGCGUAGGCGGGUCGGUAAGUCCGUGGUGAAAUCCCCGAGCUUAACUCGGGAACUGCCGUGGAUACUAUCGAUCUUGAAUACUGUGGAGGUAAGCGGAAUAUGUCAUGUAGCGGUGAAAUGCUUAGAUAUGACAUAGAACACCGAUAGCGAAGGCAGCUUGCUACACAGUUAUUGACACUGAGGCACGAAAGCGUGGGGAGCAAACAGG
rnacentral:rRNA from 1 species